CUCCGUGAAGAAGCAGCAGCUAAACACAACUCAACGGAAAGACUUUUCUUACGACCUUUCAACUCUUCAUCCUUGUCUUUAGGUUUCUCAGGCAAUAUUGACUGAUAGUGAGUAGGACUCUUAUCCAACGUCCUGAUACUAAUGUCGCUGGAACGACGAUUUACAAGAAAGGGUUUUAUCACGUCGGAAUUACGUCUGAAUGAAAAAUCCGUGUUCCUUCGCGAAUUCAAUUUUACGCCUGUCAAACCACCAAGAUCAGAAUUACGUCGGGAGCCUGAAAUAUUAAUUUUGAUUAAGUUAAUUCCAGAUUAACGUUACUAGGAAAAUUCGAGGAUGAUCAUCUCCAAGGGUGAACCUGAAAUAUUAUCCAAAUAUCGACCCUAUGGUCUAUAUGUGUUUGGUCUAAUGCAGUCUAUAUAGAGAGGUGGCAUAGAUCUGCCGAAUAUAUAUUCAAUUGUGUAUUCGAUGCUAAAGCGAUGUUAAGGGUUUCCAAUAAUUGGUUACUAGCCCAGCUGCCAAUAAAACUAGUAAAAAGCUUCAGUAGACAUUUUGUUUACUAAAUAUGACGCUGAACAAAGGACGACAGUAGAAAAUAUAUUUUGAGAUUCUGUGGAAUUUCGAAGAUAUAUAGCGAGGUUGUGUAUCCUGUAUAAAACAAAAAAUUCUGUUCGAUUGUCACAUUGAAAAAAUGACAAGAAAAUAUGUAUAUUGAGGGUUAAUCAUUAUUUAUAUAUUAUUGCUUCGUUGUUUCUUGUGUAUUUAUCAUUCGUAGGACAAUAAAGUUUUGCGUAGGAGUUUUUAUUCGCGACGGAGAUGAAAUUUUUGCGUGAACUACAUCGACCAUUGAUUGAAAGUAAAUAAGUUAUUAAUACAAGCCUGCGUAAGAGACCUUUAAAGGGGAGAGUUCCAUGUGUAUUUAAUGUGAACUAAUAAUAAUAUCGUUCGUAUUGAAA